ensembl:lncRNA
AAUUCAUUUCCUGCUGGAAAUCCCGGGGUGGGGGGGGAUUGAUGAAUGCCAGCAGCACAGAUUCACACCUCUACUCCAAUCCUACAUCUUUGUAUUAGCAGGUGAUAAAUUUCUAUUGCUCUUAUCCACACCUCUAUUUGCGGCUUAGAAAUACCAUGUGUGUGAGUCACAGCCGCGGACACUCCGGGUUUCCUGUCCCCAUCCCCUGCAGAAGGUGGGGAUGCUGUGUGCUCCUGCAGAGCUGCCCCAGGACCAGCCCAGCCUUGGCACACUGCAGAUGAAGAGGAGCAAAUGCAACAAGAGAGGAGGUGCAACAGAGCAGCUGGGAGGAGGCAUCGGGAGCUUGGGAAGCAGAAAAAAAGCAAUCAAUCAGGUGUUUGGCAUGAGAAUGUUCCAAAGCUCUGCGAACCGAAGGUAAAACAUCAAAGGCCGACUUGCAAAAGCCUCCCCGUCACUUUGUGAGUGCCCUGCAAAGCUGUGGGCGAAGCCCUGGCUGCGCCUGGCACGCAGCAGCAGCAGCGGCGGCAGAGGGCACAGGUGUGUUCUGCCCCGCGCAGGGCGGGAGCUGGGCCCGGCUCAGAGCUGAGCUCAGAGAGCUGCCGGCCCUGCUCCUGCCAAAGCGCUCUGCCAGCGUGCCCUUUGCGCGGGGCAGCAGGCGCUGCUGAGGAGCUGCAGAGAGAACAACGCUUUGUCUGUCGCACGGGGGGCACAGCUGAUCCCCAGCUCCUGUCUGUGCCAGCCCUGUGACAGGCCUGUGCCAGCCCUGUCUGUGCCAGCCCUGUGUGUGACACUCCUGUGACACUCCUGUCUGUGCCAGCACUAUCUGUGACAUCCUGUCUGUGACAUCCUGUCUGUGACACUCCUGUCUGUGACACUCCUGUCUGUGACAUCCUGUCUGUGCCAGCCCUGUCUGUGACAUCCUGUCUGUCUCCUGUCUGUACCAGCCCUGUCUGUGCCAGCCCUGUGUGUGACAAUCCUGUGACACUCCUGUCUGUGGCAGCCCUGUCUGUGACACUCCUGUCUGUGCCAGCCCUGUCUGUGCCAGCCCUGUGUGUGACAAUCCUGUGACACUCCUGUCUGUGGCAGCCCUGUUUGUGACACUCCUGUCUGUACCAGCCCUGUCUGUGCCAGCCCUGUGUGUGACAAUCCUGUGACACUCCUGUCUGUGGCAGCCCUGUUUGUGACAAUCCUGUCUGUGACAAUCCUAUCAGUGACAAUCCUGUGCCAGCCCUGUCUGUGCCAGCCCUGUCUGUGACACUCCUGUGACACUCCUGUCUGUGCCAGCACUAUCUGUGACAUCCUGUCUGUGACAUCCUGUCUGUGACACUCCUGUCUGUGACAAUCCUGUGCCAGCCCUGUCUGUGCCAGCCCUGUCUGUGACACUCCUGUGACACUCCUGUCUGUGCCAGCACUAUCUGUGACAUCCUGUCUGUGACAUCCUGUCUGUGACACUCCUGUCUGUGACACUCCUGUCUGUGACAUCCUGUCUGUGCCAGCCCUGUCUGUGACAUCCUGUCUGUGACACUCCUGUCUGUGACACUCCUGUCUGCUGUGACAAUCCUGUGACACUCCUGUCUGUGCCAGCCCUGUGUGUGACAAUCCUGUGACACUCCUGUCUGUGGCAGCCCUGUUUGUGACACUCCUGUCUGUACCAGCCCUGUCUGUGCCAGCCCUGUGUGUGACAAUCCUGUGACACUCCUGUCUGUGGCAGCCCUGUUUGUGACACUCCUGUCUGUACCAGCCCUGUCUGUGCCAGCCUGGUGCCAGUCCUGUCUGUGCCACUCCUGUCUGUGCCACUCCUGUCUGUGACAAUCCUGUCUGUGACAGUCUGUCUGUGACAGUCCUGUCUGUAACAAUCCUGUGCCAGCCCUGUCUGUGACACUCCUGUCUGUGACACUCCUGUCUGUGACAUCCUGUCUGUGCCAGCCCUGUCUGUGACAUCCUGUCUGUGACACUCCUGUCUGUGACACUCCUGUCUGUGACAUCCUGUCUGUGCCAGCCCUGUCUGUGACAUCCUGUCUGUGACACUCCUGUCUGUGACACUCCUGUCUGUGACAUCCUGUCUGUGCCAGCCCUGUCUGUGACAUCCUGUCUGUGACACUCCUGUCUGUGACACUCCUGUCUGUGACAUCCUGUCUGUGCCAGCCCUGUCUGUGACAUCCUGUCUGUGACACUCCUGUCUGUGACACUCCUGUCUGUGACAUCCUGUCUGUGCCAGCCCUGUCUGUGACAUCCUGUCUGUGACACUCCUGUCUGUGACACUCCUGUCUGUGACAUCCUGUCUGUGCCAGCCCUGUCUGUGACAUCCUGUCUGUGACACUCCUGUCUGUGACACUCCUGUCUGUGACAUCCUGUCUGUGCCAGCCCUGUCUGUGACAUCCUGUCUGUGACACUCCUGUCUGUGACAAUCCUGUGCCAGCCCUGUCUGUGCCAGCCCUGUCUGUGACAUCCUGUCUGUGACACUCCUGUCUGUGACAAUCCUGUGCCAGCCCUGUCUGUGCCAGCCCUGUCUGUGACAUCCUGUCUGUGACACUCCUGUCUGUGACAAUCCUGUGCCAGCCCUGUCUGUGCCAGCCCUGUCUGUGACAUCCUGUCUGUGACACUCCUGUCUGUGACAAUCCUGUGCCAGCCCUGUCUGUGCCAGCCCUGUCUGUGACAUCCUGUCUGUGACACUCCUGUCUGUGACAAUCCUGUGCCAGCCCUGUCUGUGCCAGCCCUGUCUGUGACAUCCUGUCUGUGACACUCCUGUCUGUGACACUCCUGUCUGUGACAUCCUGUCUGUGCCAGCCCUGUCUGUGACAUCCUGUCUGUGACACUCCUGUC